rnacentral:rRNA from 1 species
CCUAUGGGGUGCAGCAGGCGAGAAAACUUUGCAAUGUGCGAAAGCACGACAAGGUUAAUCCGAGUGUUUCCUGCUAAAGGAAUCCUUUUGUCAGUCAUAACACCACCGGACGANGAAGGGNGGGCAAUUUGUGG